AACGCACAUUGCGCCCGUUAGUACUCUAGCGGGCAUGCCUGUUCGAGCGUCAUUUCAACCCUCAAGCACCGCUUGGCGUUGGGGACUUGUAGCUUCUACAAGCCCUGAAAGUUAGUGGCGUGCUCGCUAUAACUCCGAGCGUAGUAGUACACCUCGCUUAGGACGUUCUGGCGGGUUCCGGCCGUUAAACACCCCCCUUCUCAAGAGUUGACCUCGGAUCAGGUAGGAAUACCCGCUGAACUUAA
rnacentral:misc_RNA from 1 species